rnacentral:rRNA from 1 species
CCUGCCCUGUGACAAUGUUUAACGGCCGCGGUAUUUUGACCGUGCGAAGGUAGCGUAAUCACUUGUCUUUUAAAUGAAGACCUGUAUGAAAGGCAUCACGAGAGUUUAACUGUCUCUAUUUUCUAAUCAAUGAAAUUGAUCUUCUCGUGCAGAAGCGAGAAUAUUACCAUUAGACGAGAAGACCCUAUGGAGCUUCAAACACUUAAAUUAAUUAUGUAAAAUUAUAAUCCUUAGGGAAAAAUCAUCCAUAUAAUAUUCCUAAUUUAACUGUUUUUGGUUGGGGUGACCGAGGGGGAAAAGAAAUCCCCCUUAUCGACUGAGUACUAAGUACUUAAAAAUUAGAACGACAGUUCUGAUUAAUAAAACAUUUACCGAAAAAUGACCCAGAUUUUUCUGAUCAAUGAACCAAGUUACCCUAGGGAUAACAGCGCAAUCCUUUCCCAGAGUCCCUAUCGCCGAAAGGGUUUACGACCUCGAUGUUGGAUCAGGACAUCCUAAU